rnacentral:rRNA from 1 species
UACGAAGGGGGCUAGCGUUGCUCGGAAUCACUGGGCGUAAAGCGCACGUAGGCGGACUCUUAAGUCGGUGGUGAAAUCCUGGAGCUCAACUCCAGAACUGCCUUCGAUACUGGGAGUCUCGAGUCCGGGAGAGGUGAGUGGAAUUCCUGGUGUAGCGGUGAAAUGCGCAGAUAUCAGGAGGAACACCAAUUGCGAAGGCAGCUCGCUGGAACGUAACUGACGCUGAGACGCGAAAGCGUGGGGAGCAAACAGG